UACGGGGGGAGCAAGCGUUGUUCGGAUUUACUGGGCGUAAAGGGCGCGUAGGCGGUCGUGACAAGUCACUUGUGAAAUCUCCGGGCUUAACUCGGAACGGUCAAGUGAUACUGUCGGACUAGAGUACAGAAGGGGCAACUGGAAUUCUCGGUGUAGCGGUGAAAUGCGUAGAUAUCGAGAGGAACACCUGCGGCGAAGGCGGGUCUCUGGGCCGAUACUGACGCUGAGGAACGAAAGCGUGGGGAGCGAACAGG
rnacentral:rRNA from 1 species